GGGGGGCAUCUAUCAUGCAGUCGACGACUCUGGUAUUGAUUGGUGCUUGCAUCAUGAUUUACAUUUGAGUGAGUGGCGAACUGGUGAGUAACACGUGGGAAACCUGCCCAGAAGCGGGGGAUAACACCUGGAAACAGAUGCUAAUACCGCAUAACAACUUGGACCGCAUGGUCCGAGUUUGAAAGAUGGCUUCGGCUAUCACUUUUGGAUGGUCCCGCGGCGUAUUAGCUAGAUGGUGGGGUAACGGCUCACCAUGGCAAUGAUACGUAGCCGACCUGAGAGGGUAAUCGGCCACAUUGGGACUGAGACACGGCCCAAACUCCUACGGGAGGCAGCAGUAGGGAAUCUUCCACAAUGGACGAAAGUCUGAUGGAGCAACGCCGCGUGAGUGAAGAAGGGUUUCGGCUCGUAAAACUCUGUUGUUAAAGAAGAACAUAUCUGAGAGUAACUGUUCAGGUAUUGACGGUAUUUAACCAGAAAGCCACGGCUAACUACGUGCCAGCAGCCGCGGUAAUACGUAGGUGGCAAGCGUUGUCCGGAUUUAUUGGGCGUAAAGCGAGCGCAGGCGGUUUUUUAAGUCUGAUGUGAAAGCCUUCGGCUCAACCGAAGAAGUGCAUCGGAAACUGGGAAACUUGAGUGCAGAAAGAGGACAGUGGAACCUCCAUGUGUUAGCCGUGAAAUGCGUAGAUAUUAUGGAAGAACACCAGUGGCGAAGGCGGCUGUCUGGUCUGUAACUGACGCUGAGGCUCGAAAGUAUGGGUAGCAAACAGGAUUAGAUACCUGGUAGUCCAUACCGUAAACGAUGAAUGCUAAGUGUUGGAGGGUUUCCGCCCUUUCAGUGCUGCAGCUAACGCAUUAAGCAUUCCGCCUGGGGAGUACGGCCGCAAGGCUGAAACUCAAAGGAAUUGACGGGGGCCCGCACAAGCGGUGGAGCAUGUGGUUUAAUUCGAAGCUACGCGAAGAACCUUACCAGGUCUUGACAUACUAUGCAAAUCUAAGAGAUUAGACGUUCCCUUCGGGGACAUGGAUACAGGUGGUGCAUGGUUGUCGUCAGCUCGUGUCGUGAGAUGUUGGGUUAAGUCCCGCAACGAGCGCAACCCUUAUUAUCAGUUGCCAGCAUUAAGUUGGGCACUCUGGUGAGACUGCCGGUGACAAACCGGAGGAAGGUGGGGAUGACGUCAAAUCAUCAUGCCCCUUAUGACCUGGGCUACACACGUGCUACAAUGGAUGGUACAACGAGUUGCGAACUCGCGAGAGUAAGCUAAUCUCUUAAAGCCAUUCUCAGUUCGGAUUGUAGGCUGCAACUCGCCUACAUGAAGUCGGAAUCGCUAGUAAUCGCGGAUCAGCAUGCCGCGGUGAAUACGUUCCCGGGCCUUGUACACACCGCCCGUCACACCAUGAGAGUUUGUAACACCCAAAGUCGGUGGGGUAACCUUUUAGGAACCAGCCGCCUAAGGUGGGACAGAUGAUAGGGUGAAGUCGAAUUCAUAGUAGC
rnacentral:rRNA from 2 species